rnacentral:rRNA from 1 species
AGAGUUUGAUCCUGGCUCAGAACGAACGCUGGCGGCGUGCCUAAUACAUGCAAGUCGAACGAGAAAGUACCCUUCGGGGUGCGAGUAAAGUGGCAGACGGGUGAGUAAUACGUAGGUAACCUGCCUUUGAGUGGGGAAUAACCUUCCGAAAGGAGGGCUAAUACCGCAUAAGACCACGACCACCACGGUGGUUGAGGCCUAAGAUGACCUCUACUUGUAAGUUAUCGCUUAAAGAUGGGCCUAUGCACCAUUAGCCUGUUGGUAGGGUAACGGCCUACCAAAGCUGCGAUGGUUAGCUGAUCUGAGAGGUUGAUCAGCCACACUGGAACUGAGACACGGUCCAGACUCCUACGGGAGGCAGCAGUAGGGAAUUUUGCGCAAUGGGGGAAACCCUGACGCAGCGACGCCGUGUGAGCGAUGAAGGCCUUCGGGUCGUAAAGCUCUGUCAGAGGGGACGAAAAACAAUAUGGCUAAUAUCCAUGUUGCUUGACGGUACCUUCAGAGGAAGCACCGGCUAACUACGUGCCAGCAGCCGCGGUAAUACGUAGGGUGCUAGCGUUGUUCGGAAUCAUUGGGCGUAAAGCGCGUGUAGGUAGUUAUGCAAGUCGGAUGUGAAAGCCCUCGGCUCAACCGAGGAAGUGCAUUCGAAACUACAUAGCUAGAGGACGAUAGAGGAAGGUGGAAUUCCUAGUGUAGAGGUGAAAUUCGUAGAUAUUAGGAGGAAUACCUGUGGCGAAGGCGGCCUUCUGGGUCGUUCCUGACACUGAGACGCGAAAGCGUGGGUAGCAAACAGGAUUAGAUACCCUGGUAGUCCACGCUGUAAACGAUGAGUACUAGGUGUUGUGGGUUUUGACCCCUACAGUACCGAAGCUAACGCAUUAAGUACUCCGCCUGGGAAGUACGGUCGCAAGAUUAAAACUCAAAGGAAUUGACGGAGGCCCGCACAAGCGGUGGAGCAUGUGGUUCGAUUCGAUGCAACGCGAAAAACCUUACCUGGGUUUGAAAUCCCCGGACAACCCUAGAGAUAGGGCUUUCUCUUAGGAGACCGGGUGACAGGUGCUGCAUGGCUGUCGUCAGCUCGUAUCGUGAGAUGUCGGGUUAAGUCCCUUAACGAGCGCAACCCUUGUCCUUAGUUGCCAUCAUUUAGUUGGGAACUCUAAGGAGACUGCCGGUGUUAAACCGGAGGAAGGUGGGGAUGACGUCAAGUCCUCAUGGCCCUUAUGUCCAGGGCUACACACGUGCUACAAUGGCCGGUACAGAGGGAUGCCAACCUGUGAAGGGGAGCUAAUCUCAGAAAGCCGGUCUCAGUUCGGAUUGGAGUCUGCAACUCGACUCCAUGAAGUUGGAAUCGCUAGUAAUCGCGAAUCAGCAGGUCGCGGUGAAUACGUUCCCGGGCCUUGUACACACCGCCCGUCACACCACGAAAGUUAAUUGCACCAGAAGUCGUUGUACCAACCUUCGGGAGGAAGGCGCCCAAGGUGCGAUUAAUGAUUGGGGUGAAGUCGUAACAAGGUA